rnacentral:rRNA from 1 species
AGAACAAACGCUGGCGGCGUGUCUUAAGCAUGCAAGUUGAGCGGCAAGGAGGAGAGAUCCUCCCUGGAGCGGCGGACUGGUGAGUAACGCGUGGGUAAUCUAUCUUAGGCAUGGGGAUAGUCACUAGAAAUAGUGGGUAAUACCGAAUAAGUUCCAUAAGGGGAGGACUUAUGGAAGAAAGGUGCUACGGCACUGGCCUUAGGUGAGCUCGCGUCCCAUUAGCUAGUUGGUGAGGUAAAGGCCCACCAAGGCGAUGAUGGGUAGCCGGCCUGAGAGGGUGUACGGCCACACUGGGACUGAGAUACGGCCCAGACUCCUACGGGAGGCAGCAGCUAAGAAUAUUCCGCAAUGGACGGAAGUCUGACGGAGCGACGCCGCGUGGAUGAAGAAGGCCGAAAGGUUGUAAAGUUCUUUUGCUAGGGGAGAAUAAGUGUGGGAGGGAAUGCCUGCACGAUGACAAGGACUAGCGAAUAAGUCCCGGCCAACUACGUG